UUUGAGGCUGUUUUGUUUUUGCUGUGUUUUCCUCCUGUUGAAGACAUGAAAAGGCAUAUCUAAGAGUUCUCCCCAGAGAGAUCAAGGUAUGACUUUUUGAAUUUAGUAUGAGUGUCUGGUUGUGGUUGGGAAAUAAAAUAGGAUUGCAAUUGUUUGUUGAGGGGACAAGUGGAAGUAAGAAUAACACAAAGAUCUUUGUAGCUAGGAUUCAAUAAUGAAGUUAAGCCUUUUUAUAUAAUUGAAUGGGUCAGCAACCAAGGAUUUUACAUAGUGGAAGAUAUGUGAGAGAUCAAAUAGGGAAAAGGGGACAUGAACGGAGACUAAGCCUUGGGUUCCUGUCAUCUCACAAAGGGGAAGGAGACUUUGGGGUGAGCAUCAUGUGAAAGGUGGCUGGGGUAGGGAUACUGCAGACAGCAUGUGGAAGGUUGCCAGGUGGCAGUGAGUGUGAGGGGCCUGGAGACCUGGCGAGAGGGAGGAGUGUGAUCCGGAGGUGGAGGCAAUGGGGACAGUGGAGUGGAGGAGAAGCAGGAAGCAGGGUGUGUUGGGGGGAGAGAAGACAGCAAUGGAGCAGAAGUGGGGGAGGCAGGAGGUGACAGUGAAGAUGGCGGCAGAGCAGAACAAAGGGCGCUUUGUGGGUGUGGUGGAGGAGGGAGAGCAGAGGUGAGAGCUGUCUGUAAGGUCAGCAGGACUGUCAGGAAAGGGUUUUCACAGUGUGGAGCAGGUCAAAAGCAUUUGUGCUGCCCCACAUGCCUGAAUGAGGAAGGGGGCUGCCCUGAGAGCAAAAAAGUUCUGAAGAUAAGGAGCCCAACCACUUACUUGCCUUAUGAUAGCAAACGUGUGUAAAUCACAGGCCUAUGAGCCCUGUCCCCCUUAGCUGUCUGAGAGUCUUCUGCAUCACUCUUUGGAUACAAUCAGGUAAGUGGAUGCCUCAGCUCUGUGGAGGAUGGCAGAGAAUGUGAUGUUGCAUCCAUGUUCUGCAUGUGUGCGGCCAGUCAUUUAGAAGCCUUGCAUCAAGGACCCAGGGCCCAACGAACUCAACUGUGUAUGGUCCUCAGAAAAGAGAACAUGGAAGAACAUCCAUCACCUCUGUCCUCCAACUGCCUGGACUUCUUGCCACUAGAAACAUGUAUGCGAACCAGAACCUAACCCCAUGUCCUGGUAACCUCAGGCCUAUGUUCAAUUCUGAAUGAUAGGAUGUAAACAGAGCUCCUGAUGUCCAUGUCAUGAUCAUCAAGGCUGUACAUAGAGCCCUAUACAACUUGACUGUAAGCAGAGUGCCCCACAUAAGGCACCAUGUCCCAACUCACACAGGAGUGCAUGGAGCCCUCCCCAAGUGAAUGUGGGCAGAGCCCGGCCCUUGUCUUAAACACCAUGGAUGUGCACUCAGCCCUAAAGUGAAUGUGAGCAGAGCCUUUCACUAUCCUGAAAAACUCAGGCAUGUAUGUUGCCCUCUAAGAUGUGACUGUGAGCAGAACAUCCCUUGUGUCCUGAUGAUCUCAGGCACCGGAGGAGCCUCGAAGACUGUGGAUGUGGAUAUAGCUCUUCCAUGCAACAACAAUUCCACGGAAGUGUGGCCCCGCUACAAAGCAGAAGGCAAGCAGAGCCUCAUGCUCGACAUCAGCAUCACACAUGGAACCCUCUACAGGGUGGGGGUGAGUACAGGCACACCAUUUGCUGAUCAACUUUCUCAGGUAGGUGGAAACCUUCAGCCACACAAAAGUGAGCUCAGCACCGUAGAGGGGUGCUCAUCUUGUACAUGUGGAGCCCUUUUCAACAUGCAAAACACACACAGCGGCCCAUCCCAUCAAUGCCUCAGGGCUGUGUGGAACUCUAACAGGAAUGGGCACUGUGUGCCCACACACACAAUGACCAUCUCAGGCUCCUGUGGAGCCCUGUAGAACUCUGUGGGCAAUGCCCUCUCCUGAUCCGACAAUCUGAGGCAUGGGUGGAGCCAGCCAGGUGGUGAUCACCUCUCCAAGUAACAUCAAGAACCUUAGACAAGGAGGAAGUGAACACACUUCCCCAUGCAAACUUCUACUGGAAAUGUGAGCCCUCUCCAAGGUAAGUGCAAGCACAGGCCUCACAACUGUGAUCCAUCAGCUACGUGGGACACUCUACAUUAUAGUGUGAGAAAUGUCCCAUCACAUCCUCACAACCUCACAUGUUUGUGAGCACUGUAUAUAAAGUGACUCUGAGAACAGCCUCUGCCAGUGUCCCAACUAUAUCUCACCUGUGAGUUGAGCUGGCUUCCAUCUACAUCUGGCUGGAGCAGCCGAAGAUUCAACGACAGAUGAGUCCUGUCGAGAAUUUACUAUGCAAAUGUGGACAGAGGCCUUCAAGAGACUUGAGUUACAAACAACAUAGCGAACCUGUCCAGUAUAAACGUGAGCCAUCACGCAACCUGUCCUUACACACUCAGGCAUUUGGGAACACCUUAGCGACAUGAAUGUGAAGAAGGGGUCUCCACAUCCUUCCAAUCGGGGGUCUCCAGUCUCUCUAUGUCAGGUAAGCAUAAGCAGGGCCUUUGCAUCUCUGUCACCUGUGGAAUCCUGCCACCAGGGACAGCACAGGAGCUCAAUCUACAUCUGACCCUCCCAGAAGAAGACAAACUGUAGCCUGCAUCAUUACCCCAGAGCCAUUUCCUGCAGUAAUGAUCACACCCAUGUGCAGAGGCCUCCAGAAUGAGGUUGUGAACAGAGCUGACAAUUUCCUCCAUCCCUCAGACACAUGUGGAAAGAUCUGUAAGGAGAGUAUGUGCAAACGCGCAUACGCUGACACAGACACAUAGGCACACACAUGUGCAUCCUCACCAUCCCAGGCAACUGUGCAGCCCGGUGCAAACACAGACAUGAGUAGCAUCCUCCUGUGUCCUGAAAAACUCAAGCUCAUACAGCAUGAUGGGAGCAGACCCUGCAUGUCCUGCCAGCCACUCCCGUGCAUAGACUCGUCUGCACCAUGCAUGUGAGUAGCACACUUUGCUCCUGACCUCUUGAACUGCUCCCACCUGCACAUCCCAGAGUCACAAGGAGGACAUGGCCUGGGAACUGCAAGACAUGUGUGACAACAGAGGCAGCCUGGAUUGACCCCUCAAACACCCACCCAAGAAGUACCAAGCCGACUCUUCACCAGCUCUGGUAAGUAGCACUCAGUCAUUUUCCUCAUUGCCGCUGGGAUAUGCAUGGGAGCAGCGCACUGCAUGUUCUGAACAACAUCGGCAAUUGUGAGGCCCUGGGGAACCAGGCUGUGAGCAGAAAUCAAACUAACUGACCCCCUUAAGGGUGAAGACAACUUGCAAAAUCCACAUGUGACCAGAAUCUCCACACAUGUACCGAAUGUCCAGGGUGGCAGUCACACUCUGGACGGUGUAGAUGUGAGUGGGGUCUCUCGAAGGCAGACGGAUUCAGGUACAUGUGUGGCCUGCACGAUGUGGAUGUUAGGAGCACACUGACACCCCUUGUGUUGACCAUCUGGGGCACCUGCAGGGCCUGGUACACUGUGGAUGACAAUGCGGCUCCACCCAAUCCACAUCACAGCAGGGAUUUCUUUGUACUAGACCUCCCCAUCAUCUGUAUGGUCAGAUCUUCCUCUUAUCUGCACCACCUCAGGAAUGUGGUAUGCUGUUAAAUGUGCAUCUUGUCUGAUACCUUGAGAAAAAGAACAUCGUCGGCCUCAGAAGAGUCCUGAAGAACAAGGACAUGCACCUCAGUCCCCCUGUAGUGGACCUACCACUGAUGCAGUUGUGAUUCCUGUCCAAUGUCUUGUACCCUGAGAACUCCAUGACCUCAAUAACCAACUGUAAACGGAGCCCUCUCUAUUGUAAACCUGCAUUCCCCUGACCUGUCAGCCCUGCCUCAAGCAUGUAUAAAACCUUUUGCAUUGUGAACCUGACCUCAGGUCCCCCAUCAUGUCCUCCCUACUCCCACUUGUCUGAUGCUUAGUGCAAUGUCACCAUCAUUUUAUUCACCUGUCCCAUGGCAUGGAGUCCAGCACAGAGUGGUGAGCACACACUCCUGUUCUGACUCUGCCAUGAAUGUGUGUAGCACCAAACACCACAGAUGUGAGCAGGGCCACUCCGCCGUGUCUUGAUGACCUCAGGCACUGCUGGAGCCCUGCACAAUGUGGAAGUGUGUGCCCAUCAUUCAUCUCCUGACCCACUCUGAUGUGUGUGCCCUUUGCAAAGUCAAAGAGAACACAGCACAGACAUGGCAUAUGCAUCGUCACCUUGCAUGCAGCCCUGUAGGAAGAGGACAUGACAAGUGGUGCACCAUUUCUGGACCCAGUGGCAGACUCUGUGAAAAAACUCUUUCACACAGUUACAGCCAGGGAACCACAGCCUGCCGUCAUCAGCCUCACUAAUGUGUGGCCCUCCCCAAGUGAAUAUGAGCAGAACCCUGCCAUUGUCUGAAACACCACCGAUGUGCACUCAGCUCUAAAGUGAAUGUGAGCAGAACCUCUCACUGUCCUGAACAACUCAGGCAUCUGUGGCCCGCUGCAUCAAUUGACUGACAGCAGAGCCUGCCCUUUGUAGUGACAACCUCAUGCCCUGGAGGAGCCCUGGAUAGAGGGGAUUUGGACAUAGCCUUUCCAUACACCAAAAAUCACAGGUAAGUGUGGCCCCGCUAUAAAGAGAAGGCAAACAGAGCCCCACAUACUGCAGACCUCAGCAUCAUGCAUGAAGCCUUCUUCAGGGUGGAGGCAAAAAGAGGCACACCGCUUGCUAACCGCCACUAUCAGGUAGGUACAAGCCUGCAAUGACACUGAGGAGAGCAGAGCAGUGUAGAGUGGUGCUCAUCUCGUGCAUGUGGAACCCUUUUCAACAUGUAACACGCACACAGCGGCCCAUUCCAUCAAUGCCUCAGGCCUGUGUGGAACUCUCCACCAGGAAAUGGGCACCAUGUGCCGCACACACAAAGACCAACUCAGGCUCCUGUGGAGCCGUGAACAACGCUCUAUGAGCAAUGCCAUCUUGUCUUGUCCAGACAAACUGAGGCACGGUUAGAGCCCAGACAGGCGAUGAUCACCUCUGCAAGACAAGAACCUCAUCAAAGGAGGAUGAGAACUCACUUCCCCCUUGCAAACAUCUGCUGGGAUUGGGAGCCCUCUCCAAGGUAAGUGGAAGCACAGGACUCAUAACUUCAAUCCAUCAGCUACGUGGGACACCUCUACAUUAUGGUGUGACAAAUGUCCCAUCACAUUCUCACAAACUCACAUGUUUGUGAACACUCUACAAAGUGACUCUGCGAACAGCCUCUGCCAACACCCCAGCUACAUCUCACCUCUGAGUUGGGCUGGCUUCCAUCUGCAUCUCUCUAGAGCAGUCCAGGACUCAACCACAGAAGACUCCUGGGGAGAAUCUACUUUCCAAAUGUGGACAGAGGCCUCCAAAGACAGAGAGACUGCACUUAGAAACAAUAUAGGGAACCUGUCCAGUAUAUAUGUGAGCAAGGCCACCCUUCAACCUGUCCUGACACACUCAGGAAUUUGGGAACACCUGAGUGACAUGAAAGUGAAGAAGGGGUCUCCACAUCAUGCCAAUCGGGGGCCUCCAGUCUCUCUACAUCAGGUAAGCAUAAGCAGGGUUAGGGUUGCAUCUCUGUCACCUGUGCAGCCCUGCCGCCGUGGACAGCACAGGAGCUCGAUCUACUUCUGACCCUCCCAGACGAAUACAAACUGCAGAUUGGCUAUGACCAGAGCCAUUUCCUCGAGUAAUGAUCACACUCAUGUGCAGAGGCCUCCACAAUGUGGUUGUGAACAGAGCUGCCAAUUUCCUCUGUCACUAACCCACACUUGGAAAGAUCUACAAGGUGAGUAUGUGCAAAACCGCACCUAUUUUGCAGCACAAAUGCACAUAAGCUCACACACACACAUCUGCACAAACAUAUGCAUUCCCAGCAUCCCAAACAGCUGUUCAGCCCUGUGAAAACACAGACAUGAGUAGCAUCCUCCUUUGUCCUGAACAACUGAAGCCCAUACAGCAUGAUGGGAGCAGAGCAUGCAUGUCCUGGCUACCAUUCCUGUGAGUAGACUUGUCUGCAUCAUGCAUGUACGUCGCACACUUUGCUCCUGAUCUUUUGACCUGCUCCCACAUGCACCUUCCAGAGUCACAAGGAGGACAUGGCCUGGGACUUGCAACACAUGCAUGACCACAGAGGCAGCCUGGAGAGAACCCUCAAACACCCAAACAAGCAGUACCAAGCCGACUCUUCACCAGCUCUGGUAAGUAGCACUCAGUCAUUUUCUUCAUCGCUGCUGAGAUAUGCAUGGGAGCAGCGCACUGCAUGUUCUGAACAACAUUGGCAAUGGUCAGGCCCUGGAGAACCAGGCUGUGAACAGAAAUCAAACUACCUGACCCCCUUAAGGGUGAAGACAACUUGCAAAAUCUACAUGUGACCAGACUCUGCUCACAUGUGCCUACUCUCCAGGGAGGCAGUCAAAAUCCGGUGGAUGUACAUGUGAGUUGGGUCUCUCACAGGCAGACGGAUUCAGGUGCAUGUGUGGCCUGCACGAUAGGGAUGUUAGGAGCACAGUGCCACCCCUUGUGUUGACCAUCUGGGGCACCUACAGUGCCUGAUACACUGUGGACGACAAUGAAGCCCCUCCCAAUCCUCAUCACAGCAGGGAUUUCUUUAUACAAGACCUCCACAUCAUCUGAAUGGUCAGAUCUUCAUCCCAUCUGCACCACCACAGGAAAGUGGAAUCCUGUAAAAUGUGCAUCUUGUAUGAUACCUUCAGAUAAAGAACAUUGUGGGCCUCAGAAGAGUCCUGCAGAACAAGGACAUGAACCUCAGUCCCCCUGUAGUGGACCUACCACUGAUGCAGUUGUGAUUCCUGUCCAAUGUCUUGUACCCUGAGAACCCCAUGACCUCAAUAACCAGCUGUAAAUGGGGCCCUCUCUAUUGUAAACCUGCAUCCCCCUGACCUGUCAUCCCUGCCUCAAGCAUGUAUAAAACCUUUUGCAUUGUGAACCUGACCUCAGGUCCCCCAUCAUGUCCUCCCUACUCCCACGUGUCUGAUGCUUAGUGCAAUGUCACCAUCAUGUUAGUCCCCUGUCCCAUGGCAUGGAGUCCAGCACAGAGUGGUGAACACACACACUCCUGUUCUGACUAGGCCAUGAAUGUGUGUAGCACCACACACCACAGAGGUGAGCAGGGCCACUCCACCGUGUCUUGAUGACCUCAGGCACUGCUGGAGCCCUGCACAAUGUGGUUGUGUGUGCAGAUCAUCCAUCUCCUGACCCGCUCUGAUGUGUGUGACCUUUGCAAAGUCAAAGAGAACACAGCACAGACAUGGCAUAUGCAUCGUCACCUUGCAUGCAGCCCUGUAGGAAGAGGACAUGACAAGUGGUGAACCAUUUCUGGACCCAGUGCAGACUCUGUGAAAAAACUCUUUCACACAGUUACAGCCAGGGAACCACAGCCUGCCGUCAUCAGCCUCACUAAUGUGUGGCCCUCCCCAAGUGAAUAUGAGCAGAACCCUGCCCUUGUCUUAAACACCACAGAUGUGCACUCUGCUCUAAAAGGAACGUGAGCAGUGCCUCUCACUGUCCAGAACAACUCAGGCAUGUGCAGUCCGCUGUAUGAUUUGACUGAUAGCAGAGCCUCCCCUUUGUCCUGACAACCUCAGGCUCUGGAGGAGCCCUGGACAGGGUGGAUGUGGACCCAGCCUUUCCAUACUUCCAAAAUCCCAGGUAAGUGUGGCCCCACUAUAAAGAGAAGGAAAGCAGAGCGCCACAUACUGCAGAGCUCAGCAUCAUGCAUGAAGCAUUCUACAGGGUGGAGGUAAGAGGAGGCACACUCUUUGAUGACCAACUCUCUGACGUAGGCACAAUCCUUCAACAACACAGAGAUGAGCAGAGCACUGUGGAGUGGUGCUCAUCUUGUGCAUGUGGAACCUUUCAACAUGCAACACACACACAGCCCCCAGUUCCAUCAAUGUCUCGGGAGUGUGUGGAACUCUCCACCAGCAAAUGGGCACUGUGUGCUCACACAAACAAUGACCAUCUCAGGCUCCUGUAGAGCUCUGUACAACUCUCUGUGAGCAAUGCCCUUUCCCGAGAACCUGAGGCAUGGGUGGAGCCCAGCCAGGUGGUGAUCCCCUCUCCGAGUUCUGUCAAGAACCUUACACAAGGAGGACGUGAACACACUUCCCCGUUCAUACUUCUGCUGGGAAUGUGAGGCCUCUCCAAGGUAAGUGCAAUCACAAGCCUCACAACUCCGAUCUAUCAGCUACGUGGAACACCUCUACAUUAUGGUAUGAGAAAUGUCCCAUCACAUGCUCACAACCUCACAUGUUUGUGAGUACUCUAUAAAGUGGCUCUAGGAACAGCCUCUGCCAGCGUCCCAACUACAUCUUACCUCUGAGUUGAGCUGGCUUCCAUCUAUGUGUGGCUGGAGCAGCCCAGGAGUCAACCGUGGAAGAAUCCUGUCGAGAAUCAACUAUGCAAAUGUGGACAGAGGCCUCCACAGACGAAGAGACUGGACUUACAAACAAUAUAGGGACCCUGUCCACUGUACAUGUGAGCAAGGCCACCCCUCAAAAUGCCUGCGUCCUGACAUGCUCAGCCAUUGGCGAACAUGUGAGUGACAUGAAUGUGAAGAAGGGGUCUCCAUGUCCUGCCAUUCGGGGGUCUCCAGUCUGUCCUGCUGUAGCAGGUAAGCAUAAGCUGGGUCUUUGCAUCUCCUAUGGAGCCCUGCUUCCAUGGACAGCACAGAAGCUCUGCCUACUUCUGACCCAGUCGGAGGAGUUCAAUCUGUGCAGCUUGGUUGUGACCAGAGCCAUUUCCUGUGGUAAUGAUCACACCCAUGUGCGGAGGUCUCCACAAUGAAGUUGUGAACAGAGCUGCCAACAUCCUACAUCCCGCAGCCACAUGUGCAACGAUCUGCAACGUGAGUAUGUGCGUAACAGCACCUCUAUCCCAACACAAACACACAUAUGCACAACAGACAGAUCCGCACAUACACAUAUGCAUCCUCACCAUUCCAGGCAGCUGUGCAACUCUGUGCAAACCCACACAUGAGUAACAUCCUCCUGUGUCCUGACCAUCUCAAGCCCAUGCAGCAUGAUGGGAGCCCAGCCUGCAUGUCCUGCCAACCAUUCCUGCGAGCAGACUCAUCUGUACCAUGCACGUGAGUAUUACACUAUGCUCGUGACCUCUUGACUUUCUCCCACGCGCAUACCCCAGAGUCACAAGGAGAACAUGGCCUGGGACUUGCAAGACAUGCAUGACCACAGAGACACCCUGGAGAGACCCCUCAAACGCCCAAGUAAGCAGCACCAAGCCGAACCUUCACCACCUCUGGAAUAUGUGGAUAUCUGCAAGGCUACAGUUCCAUAUCUUGAUGCCCUUAUGCCUUGGUGUUGCCUGGCCGAUCAUGGAUAUGAGAAGAGACCCUCCAUUUCGUGACAGCAUCCAGUGGGUUCUACCUUUACACGGUGUGUGUGUGGAGCCAUCUACAAUGUAGAUGAGAGUAGAACCUAACAGUGCCACGCCCCAUCCCACAUAUGGAGCCCUAUCCUGAGAUGCUGUGUGUGGCUGCCUCUCGGACAUGAAUGUGAGUGGAAAACCAUGUCUUCAGUAUUUCACAUAUGUGGACCUUCCCUCAGAUCACUUCAGCCAAGUAAAGGAUCAUCUGUCAAAGUCAACUCAGGACCAGGUGGCUUUCCUGACACACACUCGAGGCAAUAUAAAGUUGAGAAAAUGUCCAAAGUUUUUACCCUGAAGCUUAACUACAGUUAGGCACAGCAAGGCACUGUAAGACUUUUUCAGCCACUGACGCAUUUUAGAAACAAUCAAGUUUGAAGUAGGCUAUGACAUAGCCUGAAUUGAAAAGGUUAACUGAAUAUAGCCUCUCUGCACUGUCAUCCUGCAUGGCCAUAGCAGGACUGAAGGGCUGCUGCUUAGGACACUGUGAAUCCUGAUUUCAGCAAAGCCCUCUUGGUGACAUCUUGUGAAAACGUUCCAUAGUGCAGCCCUCACAACUGAAUGGCAGGUAGGCUGUUUACCAAACCCUCAGCAUGGAACACAAGCCUGAUUCUGGGCCCCAUGCAGAGACAAGCUGGAUGUGCUGGUCAGAGCUAUAUUCAGGACAGCAGGAAAACACUGAGGCACAGUAACUGUCAGUUUUCUGCAGGGAGAUCUGCCUGAGACGCAUCAAGCAGCUGAAAAUGCAUCGAUGUCACUGGUUUCAGAAAUGUUUGGCGUAUGCACCCUCGCUUAUCACCCACUCCAAACACAGAUCCCAAAGCAUCUCUGCAAAGUAGAGGGCCACACUAUAGUGGAUGGUGCCACUCACCGAAACAGAAGCACAGUGGGAUGGCAGGCACACAGUGACAUCCUGGAACACACUAUGAGGGUGACCGCUGGAUGUCCCCAACAGUACAACUCUGCUUUAUUCUGACAUCACAGCUGUGCCUCUCAGUUCAUCAUGGAGGACACACAGGGCCCAUGGUGCAGAAGCUGAUUAGGGGACUCACAGGACAAAUGGCGUCUCUGCAUCACACCGCCUUGCAUACUGCCUCCCACGGCCUAUCAAAGGCAAUGGUAAUGGGGUGAAGCUAUCUGCUCAAGGUGGCUGACUGGGGGAAAACAUCUGGCUUAACCAUAAUGCUGGCACUUCCAGAGCACUAGCCACCACCCAGUGUUGAAAUAUAUGCACUGAAACUCUCAGGUAACUAGGAAAGCAAAUCCUUCCAACCUAGAACAGAAGGACAAGAUUCAAUACUGCUGUCUUUACUGAAAAGUGCAUGUAGGGCUGGGAAUUUAGCUCAGAGGCAUAAGUGCCUGCCUUGCAAGCCUGUGGUCAUGAGUUCGAUCCCUGGUACUGGUAAAUAAUUUUUUAAAAAGUGCAUGUAAAUCUUUAUGCUACACAAGGGAUCUUGUACAAAUUCCCUAUGAUGAACAUGAUGAUUAUAUAUCUGAAAUGUAUUACCAAUGCACUUAAUUAAGAAAUAAAACAACAUGAAACAGUAUUCUCCACAGUAUCAAAUUUUAAAAUGUACCUGGGCUUCCUCAGCCCCUGGGCCUGCUGCAACCUGAGGCCUCCUACACCACUGGGAGCACUUGAACUCACCCACGGCAGUUCCUUCCGGCAGCUUCAACUGGUACAACUGGAAAUCAAUACAAAUGUGGAGCAACUGCGUUUAGUAAAGGUGCACGAAUUCCAAGUAAGCUGUUGCGAACUUUUCCUGAGACAGGAAAAAACAAAACCGUUAACAGGUGCUGAAAAGGGUGUGGGGCAACUGACAGAACCAGUGUGUAUUUGUGGACAGCAGCUUGGUACACCACUUGGCCCAUCAGGCAACAGGGAGACCUCAAAGGGGCCACCCCUGCACAAGGAGUGGGACCCACAAGGCCAUGGAGCACCAUGCAGUGCUCUGAGCAGGCUCCUCAGUCUCCACCAAGAUCCUCACAAGAGUCAGAGGGUAAAGCAGGCAUCGCAGAGCCAGGUGAGGCCUUGACUUUAAGACGUAUUUUUGUCAAAACACAGAAAUUUUUGGGUUCAAACAGUAUUUCCGGGACUGUGGCUAAGAAGCAGGCUUUUUAUGUUCCUUACAUAGACCCUUCUGAGCUAUAUCAAUGUCUUAACCUAGUACCUAAGGAAAAGUAUCAAAUGAUCAGAAAGGUCUCAGCCAACAGCUCAGAUCCCACAUUAAGAGGUUCCAGGUCAAUGUGAGGAAAGAAAAAAGAACAUAAGGUCAGGUGUACAAUCUCCCAUGUACAGUGUCAUGUGAGGUGAGAUAGCUGGAGCUGGGUGGUGUGGUGCAUACCUACAAUCCCCACACUAGAGGGUGAGGCUAGAGGAUUUAGGGGUCAGCCCUCACAAUGAUUGGCAGAUAUACCUGACAAAUAAAUACUUGUGCAAUCAACCUGUA